AACGUAGGUUCCGAGCGUUAUCCGGAUUUACUGGGCGUAAAGCGCGUUCAGGCGGUUUGGCAAGUCGGGCAUGAAAUCUCUCGGCUCAACCGGGAGAGGUUGUCCGAUACUGCUGGACUUGAGGGCAGUAGAGGGUGGUGGAAUUCCGGGUGUAGUGGUGAAAUGCGUAGAUAUCUGGAGGAAUACCGGUGGCGAAGGCGGCAUCCUGGACCGGCAUUGACGCUGAGGCGCGAAAGCUAGGGGAGCAAACAGG
rnacentral:rRNA from 1 species